AACGAACGCUGGCGGCAUGCCUAACACAUGCAAGUCGAACGGAUGGUUUCGGCCAUCAGUGGCGCACGGGUGAGUAACGCGUGGGAAUCUGCCCAGCAGUGGGGGAUAACCUCUGGAAACGGAGGCUAAUACCGCAUACGCCCCUCGGGGGAAAGGCUUGCUGCUGCUGGAGGAGCCCGCGUCGGAUUAGGUAGUUGGUGGGGUAACGGCCUACCAAGCCUGUGAUCCGUAGCUGGUCUGAGAGGAUGAUCAGCCACACUGGGACUGAGACACGGCCCAGACUCCUACGGGAGGCAGCAGUGGGGAAUAUUGGACAAUGGGGGCAACCCUGAUCCAGCAAUGCCGCGUGAGUGAUGAAGGCC
rnacentral:rRNA from 1 species